UACUCGAGUGGCGAACGGGUGAGUAACACGUGGGUGAUCUGCCCUGCACUCUGGGAUAAGCCUGGGAAACUGGGUCUAAUACCGGAUAGGACCAUGCUUUAGUGUGUGUGGUGGAAAGUUUUUUCGGUGUAGGAUGAGCCCGCGGCCUAUCAGCUUGUUGGUGGGGUAAUGGCCUACCAAGGCGGCGACGGGUAGCCGGACUGAGAGGUUGGUCGGCCACAUUGGGACCGAGAUACGGCCCAG
rnacentral:rRNA from 1 species